GUUACCUGCAAGGGGCGCCAAUUGGCUGAGAUCGAACCCUUGAACCUGAUCUGGCCAGUACCAGCGGAGGAAUGCAGCCUUCAUUCUGG
rnacentral:ncRNA from 2 species